rnacentral:lncRNA from 1 species
UGAGACCAGACUGCUUUGUGUAUCUAAAUAAACAGCCAUUGGAAAAGGAUUGAUAAGAUACACUUGCAACCAUAUUUUUCCAUUGUUAGCUUUUGAUCAACUUCCAUUCCAAGUGGACAAUUUACCAGAGUGGUUUGUAGUUAUGAAGAUGACUUGCCUCCCAAUCUGCUUUUUCUUUGCGGUACCACUCAAGGCUCCAAUGUUAUCAACAUGUCAGUGACCAGCACAAAGAAAAAAAUUGCUUCUAGCAGUUCAAGCCAAAGUCCUAGAUUUGAGUAUGGCAGACUGAUUGCAUCACAGACCCAUCUCUAAACCAAACACUGGGCACAGGGAAGAAGGAAUAUGUAGAAUGCUCAAGUUAGUCAUAAACCCAUGCAGCAGUAGCCCCUAAACCAGAGUGAUUUGGUAAUUUUACUGAUCUUAUCUGGAUUAUUUUUAAUUUCCUCCUUUCUCUCAUCCUCAAC